rnacentral:rRNA from 1 species
UACAGAGGAUGCAAGCGUUAUCCGGAAUGAUUGGGCGUAAAGCGUCUGUAGGUGGCUUUUUAAGUCCGCCGUCAAAUCCCAGGGCUCAACUCUGGACAGGCGGUGGAAACUACCAAGCUGGAGUACGGUAGGGGCAGAGGGAAUUUCCGGUGGAGCGGUGAAAUGCGUAGAUAUCUGCAGGAACACCCGUGGCGAAAGCGGCGCGCUGGACCACUACUGACGCUGAGGAACGAAAGCUAGGGGAGCAAACAGG